CUCUCUCCCAGCGCUGCUUCUUUUUCUUCUUUUUUUAAGGAUGCUGGUGAACUUCUCAGCCUUGGAGUUUGUAAAAGCCUGGCCCACACAAAAGGUUCUGCAAACUAGACACAAUACUCUCUGCAGCCAUCAAUUCAGGAAGCAGAGAAAACUACAAAAUCCAUGAUCCCUGGCAGUACGGGAGAGGCGCAGAAAGGUUUCUCUUGUCUUUGCAAUCACUCCCCACCAUCAGUUACCUUUGAGAAGAGGGCAGGCCUGAGCAUCUCACCCUUGACCAAUUCUAUUGAGGCAUCAACUGCCAUGCCACAGUAAUGGUCUGAUUGCUGAUAAUUAAGAAUGAAAUGUAAACGUGCUGAGAUGAUUAAGAUAUACUCAGAUAACUACUGAGAGAGCAUCAAGGACAGAUGAAUGAGGAGCAUGUGCUGUAUAGCAGUGAUACAUCUAUGACCCCUGUCCUCCAGAUCAUGCCAUCAGGCAAGCAAGUUGCAUUUGAAAACUAUGGUUCUCUGCCUUCUGGGAUUAUUCAUAUAUUAUCAUGUCAAUGUCAUCUUCAUCUCCUUGCUGUUGGUUAUAUAAAACAAAUGUGCAUAUCAGUAAGUCAACUGCAGAUUAAGUGUGCAUUUGGAAAAGAUGGGACAUUGGCCUGUAUGUCACCUGAUAUAUUGCUUCUCUUAUUUGUAUUUUAUUAAACAUGUGUGAUAUAAAUAUAUGCAUCCCAGACACACAAUCCACUUUAUACUAGAAGAGGGAGGGGGGGACCCACUUCCUUUCCAUAGAUCCCUGGAGAGUUCAUGGACUGGAGGCUGUGUUUUUCCAUCAUAUGGAUCGCUUUGUAAUCAAGAACAUUAAUAUGAGGGAUCCUGUGCAUGCUUAACAACAUAAUUAAUCUACAAUUUGGUAUAAAUGUUUACUAGUUGGUAUAAUGGGAGAAAUUAAUAUUUCAGUUGAUUUUACUGGACCUCUGUAUUUACUUUUUGUAAUAGCAGUGAUAGUAUUACAUAUAGACAAAAGACACUCCUUUCAAGGUCAUAACAGAGUAUUGUACUCUAGGUGAAUACACCUAGCAAGCAGAGACAAAAAUAAAUUGAAGCAGACCCA